rnacentral:rRNA from 1 species
UACGUAGGGUGCAAGCGUUUGUCCGGAAUUAUUGGGCGUAAAGAGCUCGUAGGCGGUUCUGUCACGUCGGCUCGUGAAAUCCCGAGGCUCAACCUCGGGUCUGCAGUCGAUACGGGCAAACGUAGAGUAUUGCAGGGGAGACUGGAAAUUCCUGGUGUAGCGGUGAAAUGCGCAGAUAUCAGGAGGAACACCGGUCGGCGGAAGGCGGGUCUCUGGGCAAUAAACUGACGCUGGAGGAAGCGAAAGCUAGGGGAGCAAACGGG